AUCAGCCCUUUAUAUCUGCAGAGGGAGCGGGUCCCCUUCCACGGAGGCCGCCAUGUUGCACCGCCAUGUUUCUACAGUAGCCCAGAAUGGACAAACCAAUCACCGGCUCUAGAGAGGGCCUUUCGUGUUUUCCGCGAGUUUCCUGGCCGCCGUAGUUUCUCCUGCACGCUUGGAAGGGGAGGGCGAGGCGAGCGGUGUUCAAAUGGCUGCAAACUGCAGUUUCACCACUAGAGGCCGCUAAAUCCUCCACGCUGGAGCUUUAAAUAAAAGUAUAAAUACCACAGACUAAAAAUACUCUGUUGCAGGUGAAAGUACAGAAGUUUUAUCUGCAAAAUGCAGUUAAAGUACCAAAAGUACUCAUUAUGCAGAAUAACUCCUUUCAGAGUGAGAAUAUUAUAUUAUUCUGAUUUGAUCACUAAUGAAUAUGAAACUCUUCGUUCAGGACGGCAUGUUAACCCUGGUGACAUGACAGGAUCUGGUCUGCAACAGACAUUCAGCAGGACAAAGACUAAAGCCUCCUCAGGGGGGCGCCGCAGAGCUGAGGGGGAGGCAACGAUACUGCAGGAGGUGGAUCUGAGUCAAAAACAGCACUCCUUCAGUGAACGAGGAUGAGGAUGACUGGCUGUCGCCCUCUGCAGCUGCUCAGUGGCCGUGGUGGGAGGAAGAGGAGACCACCAUCCCAUCAAUGAUCUGCGGAUCUAUCACCGUCCGCUUGAUCUUCUGGGUCGAGGAGGAGGAGCCUGACUGGACGCUGUCGACCAAUCAGAAAACAGAUCACGGUGGGACCAUGAACCCCUGAGUCCGACCCUCCUGCUGAGUCUCACCAGCUGCCGGCCUCUCCGUCCAGCAGCCUCCUGUACUCGGCGAUCUCCAGCUCCAGUCUGGUCUUGAUGUCCAGCAGGAUCUGGUACUCCUGGGACUGCCUCUCCAGGUCGGCCCUCAGUUGAAGUUGAAGGAUCUGACCAGCGGUGGCGCUGUAGACAAACAUUUUGAUUGGCUGCAGCUUGUUUGUCUGUGAACCAGCAUGUGCACAAGGACCAUGGAGGCAUUAAUAGAGCUGCUAGUUUGUCCCAGUUGCUGUACUGCAACUAAACCUACAGCUGCACACAAGGUCAAUUAUCACUCUUUGCUUUAUGAAAUUUUAAUCCAUAGAGAUUUUAUGUGUAAAACUUUUCCGGAACAUUUUCAAAUGUCUUUGCAAAGUUAUAUGAGGUUCGACAUAUAUGGAAGUUUACUGACGACAAAAGAUUUAAUUGUUCUGUACAUUGCAACUUGAAACUGGAGUCAGAUUCCUUGUAUGUGUUCACAUACUUGGCUGCUGAUCUAUGUUACUGUGAUCAUUAUGCACCACAACACCAAGGCAAAUUCCUUGUAUGUGAAAACGUACUUGGCAAUAAAGGGAU